GCUGGGUGCAGUGCCUUACACCUGUAAUCCCAACACUUUGGGAGGCUGAGAUGGGAGGAUCACUUGAGGCCAGGAGUUAGAGGCCAGCCUGGGCAACAUAGUGAGAUCCCAUCUCUA
rnacentral:SRP_RNA from 1 species